CCCUUAGAUGUUCUGGGCCGCACGCGCGCUACACUGUUCGACGCAGCGAGUCUUAACCUUGACCGAAAGGUUUGGGUAAUCUUCAGCAAAGUCGAACGUGAUGGGGAUCGAUCAUUGCAAUUAUUGAUCGUGAACGAGGAAUUCCUAGUAAGUGCAAGUCAUCAGCUUGCGCUGAUUACGUCCCUGCCCUUUGUACACACCGCCCGUCGCUACUACCGAUUGAAUGGUUUAGUGAGAUCUCUGGAUUGAUGCUGGCUAGGGGGCGACCCUUGGCCAGACUGUUGAGAAACUGCUCAAACUUGAUCAUUUAGAGGAAGUAAAAGUCGUAACA
rnacentral:rRNA from 1 species